rnacentral:lncRNA from 1 species
AAGAAUCAUGUUUACUUAAUUCUUGCCUUACCAAUACAUUUAGCUCUGAUCCUCAUUUGCUAAUGUUUUUGUUGUGCAUGCAUGGUUGUGUUUUGAGCGACGCAGGUCAUGGCCGAGAAGAUUGUUAUAUUUUGCCGUUACUACGUUCCACUUAUUGUUCUUCUUCCUUAUCGAACCCUCCAAUUCUUCUACCAAAUCAAAACCCAAGUUCCCAUUGAGCCAAAACACUCUUCUUCCUUCAUCACAGACUCCGAAAUCCAAUCCGAAUUUGCUCACCAUGCUCCUGGUGUUGCCAUGAUGAACAAUGGCAGCUUUGGUUGCUGCCCUGCUUCUGUCAUCUCUGCCUUGCAUCAAUGGCAGCUCAAAAUGUUCCGCCAGCCGAGCCAUUUCUUAUUGAAUGAGCUCAAGAACAGGAUACUUGAAUCAAGAACCAUAAUUAAAGACCAUAUCAACGCAGAAGAUGUGGAUGAAGUCUCCAUUGUAGACAACAUCUCCACUGCUGCUGCCAUAGUCCUGCAGCAAACAGCAUGGGCCUUUGCUGAAGGGAAAUUCAACAAAGGGGAUGCUGUCAUUAUGUUUAGCUGCACUUACGGUGCGGUGAAGAACUCAAUCGAGGCCUACUUUUCACGUGCUGGUGGGUCCGUUAUCGAAGUUCCAUUUAACUUUCCAUUGAAUUCCAAUGAAGAAAUCAUAAGUGAAUUUAGGAAAGCAUUGGAGAGAGAAAAGGGUAAUGGUAGGAGAGUGAGAUUGGCUGUGAUUGAUCAUGUUACAUGUGUGCCAACUGUUGUAAUGCCAGUUAAGCAAUUGGUUAAAAUCUGUAGGGAUGAAGGUGUUGAACAAGUGUUCAUAGAUGCAGCUCAUGCUGUUGGGAGCGUAGAUGUUGAUAUGCAAGAAAUUGGGGCAGAUUUUUAUGCUAGUACUUUGUAUAAGUGGUUCUUCUGCCCGCCUGUUGUUUCAUUUCUGUAUUGUAGGAAAUCAGCUACACAUUCAGAUUUGGAAUUGCAUCACCCUAUUGUGUCUCAUAGGUAUGGUAAGGGGUUGGCUGAAGAAAGUUUUUGGGUUGGGACAAGGGAUUAUAGUCCAUAUCUGGUGCUUCCUUCAGUUAUGGAGUUCGUUAACAGGUUCGAAGGCGGUCUUAAGGGAAUCAUAAAAAGGAAUCAUGAUGCUGUUGUUGAGAUGGGGAAGAUGUUGGCAGAAGCUUGGGGAACCAAUCUAGGGUGUCCUCCUGAUAUGUGCGCUAGCAUGAUCAUGGUAGGGUUACCGGCUUGUUUGGGGAUUUCAAGUGAUGAUGAUGCUACGAAGUUAAGGCCACAUUUAUGUGAUAAAUUUGGUGUUGAAGUCAGAAUACAUUAUCAAGCUCCCAAAGAUGGAGAGGUUGGAUCAACGACGGGGUAUGUUCGAAUUUGUCAUCAGAUUUACAACAAAGUUGAUGACUAUUACAAGCUCAGAGAUGCAGUUAAUCAACUAGUUCGUGAUGGAUUCACUUGCGCUCUUGAGGUAUGUAUAUGCUCUGCCUUCAUCCAGUUUAUUGGUUUGUAAGCUAGACAUACUAUACACUGCAACUUGCUAAAUUUGGUUUGCUUACUUGUUAUUGACAUGGGAUUUUACGUUAAUCUGUAGAUCAAUGAGGCCUGAACUCCGUUCGAUGAAAAAAAGAAGCUAUAUGGUCCUAUAUCCUGCAUGCUUUGCUAGUUGUGCAAUGGAUUUUGUACCAUUAACUUCUGAAGUGCUCCUGAGCAAACAAGUAUAUAUAUAGAGAAGUUCAUGAAUUUUCAGUUUGAUAUGCAGAAAAGUUCAUGUAUGAAUACAUUAACAAUUAUCUGUCGGUUUGGUUGUGAUUCGCAGAGAUUAGGACUCGAUUUGAACACAGCACCUCAUGCAAUCAGUUUGACAAUAAGUGAAACACAAUGUGUGCUUGAACAACAAGACUUACCUGAAAGCACUUGCACUCCUUUGCAGUUUUAUAAUAAGCAAUUGUAACUGAUGCAUUCCUUAAAAGCCCUUCAAUUAUUUACUCUUCAUCUUUCUAAUAUAAUGUGUUAAACUGUCUCUUUGAGCUCAGUGAUUUAAUCCCAGAACUUUUAAGUUACCGUGCCCACUUGAACUAUAUGAGUGUUACUACAAAUGGUAUCAGUUCAGCCAUAAGCUGCAUUUGUUAAUAAGCUGAUAUAUUUACUAAAGUGAUGUUUUUCUUGCCACAAAGGCAAACCUAAAUCCAUGGUUCUCUAGCGUUCCAUUUUCCAUGCAUAAUUUCCAGCACAUCACAUGUAGAUAGCCAGAUUCAAAAGCAUGAAAAUAUGGAAGUUGACUUUAGAUUAAUACACCAAACUUUAUAAGAUUGUCUUUUGGUGACCCAAAUCUUAAAAUCAACGUCAUAAUCCUUUAUUUUUCUCCCUAAUCAAUUUAAACCUCCCUAAUGUCAUAUAUAAAACAAGUGAUUUUGGUCGUAGCUCUCUUGUCUUUUGUAGUCAAGACAAGCAUUGAGACAUAUCAAGAGUCCGCAAGAAUAUUACAAAUUAAUAAGUUGAACAAUGACUAUGAAUGAGAGAUCAUUAACGCCCAAUUUCAACAAACGCUUAAGGUACUUAAAAUCAUCAUGUUCAAUUAAUUCUUGCCUCGACAAUACAAUCGGCGCUGAUCCUCAUUAAUUUGCUAAUGUCUUUGUUGUGUAUGGUUCUGGUUUGAGUGAGCAGGUCAUGGCUAAAAAGAUUAUUAUGUUUUGCCGCCACUAUGUUCCACCUAUUCUUCUCCUUCCUUAUCAAACCUUCCAAUUCCUCUACCCCAAGCUUUCAUUUCAAGUCUCAAGGGCCUCUAACCACCAUUUCCACAACCUCAAAGCUGAUGAAAUCCAAACCCAUGUUCCCAUUGAGACAAAACUCUCUUCUUCCUUCAUCACAGACUCCGAAAUCCAAUCUGAAUUUGCUCACCAUGCUCCUGGUGUUGCCAGGAUGAACAAUGGCAGCUUUGGUUGCUGCCCUGCUUCUAUCAUCUCUGACUUACAUCAAUGGCAGCUCAAAUUGCUCCGCCAGCCGGACCAUUUCUACCUGAAUGAGCUCCAGAACAGGAUACUCGAAUCAAGAACCGUAGUUAAAGACCUUAUCAAUGCAGAAGAUGUGGAUGAAGUCUCCAUUGUAGACAAUGUCUCCACUGCUGUAGCCAUAGUCCUGCAGCAGACGGCAUGGGCCUUUGCUGAAAGGAAAUUCAACCAAGGGGAUGCUCUCAUUAUGUUUCACUGUGCUUAUGGAGCGGUGAAGAACUCAAUCAAGGCCUACUUUCUGCGUGCUGGUGGGUACGUUAUCGAAGUUCCAUUUAAAUUUCCGCUGAAUUCCAAUGAAGAAAUCAUAAGUGAAUUUAGGAAAGCAUUGGAGAGAGAAAAGGGUAAUGGUAGGAGAGUGAGAUUAGCUGUGAUUGAUCAUGUCACAUGCAUGCCAAGUGUUAUAAUGCCAGUUAAGCAUUUGGUCAAAAUUUGUAGGGAAGAAGGUGUCGAACAAGUUUUAAUAGAUGCAGCUCAUGGUGUUGGGUGCAUAGAUGUUGAUAUGCAAGAAAUUGGGGCAGAUUUUUAUACUAGCAAUUUGUAUAAGUGGUUCUUUUGCCCACCUGCAGUUGCAUUUCUGUAUUGUAGGAAGUCAGUGACAAAUUCAGAUUUGCAAUUGCAUCACCCUGUGGUGUCUCAUGAGUAUGGCAAUGGGUUGGCUAAAGAAACUGGUUGGGUUGGGACAAGGGAUUACAGUCCUUAUCUGGUGCUUCCUUCAGUUAUGGAGUUUGUCAAUAGGUUCGAAGGCGGUGUUGAGGGGAUCAGAAAAAUGAAUCAUGAUGCUGUUGUUGAGAUGGGGAAGAUGUUGGCAGAAGCUUGGGGAACCAAUCUAGGCUGUCCUCCUGAUAUGUGUGCUAGCAUGAUCAUGGUUGGUUUGCCAGCUUGUUUGGGGAUUUCAAGUGAUGAUGAUGCUAUAAAGUUAUGGGCACGUUUAUGCAAGAAAUUUGGUGUUGAAGUCAAGAUACAUUAUCAAGCUCCCAAAGAUGCCGAGGUUGCGCCGACAACAGGGUAUGUUCGAAUUUGUCAUCAGAUUUACAACAAAGUUGAUGACUAUAACAAGCUCAGAGAUGCAAUUAAUCAACUCGUUCGUGACGGUUUCACUUGCGCUCUUGAGGUAUAUAUAUGCUCUGCCUUCAUCCACUUUAUUGGUUUAUAAGCUAGACGUACUACACACUGCAGUUUCCUGAAUUUGGUUUGCUAACUUGUUAUUGACAUGGGAUAUCAUGUUGAUCUGCAGAUCAAUGAGGCCUGAAGAAGUCUGUUCGAUGAAUAAAAGGAGCUGUAGUUCUCUGUGUCCUACAUCCUUUGCUAGCUGCAAUGGUUUUGGUACAAUUAAGUCCAAAAGUGCUCCUUCAGAGGCAAAAAAACUAUACAGAAAGUUCAUGAACAUUUCUUUUUUCUUUUUUCGGUUUGAUAUGUAGAAAACUUCAUGUAUGAAUACAUAAACAAUUGUCUGUCAGCUUCAAGGAAUGUAAUUUCCAGAUAUGUUUACCGACCAAUGGGCUCCAUUUGAGAAUCUGUGAAAACCCAAGAACUUAAACAACCAACAAGAUUAACCUAAAAAUACUUGCCCUUUACACUUUCUCCUUUACCUUUUAUAAACAGCAAUUCUAACCCUAAAAGGCGUUCAAAGAAUUACUCUCCAGCUUUAUAAUAUAGUGUUAAAGUGUCAUCUUUAUAAGUUGGUGAGCACACCAACAAGUGGGUCAGCAUUUAUAAUGAAUAUAGCUUAACGAGUGCUAUCAGUUCAAGGCCUCUAGGAAGCCACAAGCUUUCAUAGAUGAAUAUAGCUUAACGAGUGCUAUCAGCAUUUGUAAUAGAUAUUUCAAGAAAGGGCUGCUCUCUCCAACUUAAUAAUUGAAAUUUAGGGAAACAAGUCUGAGCUUCAAAAUAUGAAGCAGACCUCUGAGCUCUUAUUCCCUAUUUAUCAUUCUCUUUCUCGUAUCUUCGUAUAUUAAUUUCUUGUGGUACUUUGCUGCUAGUAUUAUCAUCAAAUUCCAACAUCAUCCGCGAAAGAAAACUACUUUCGACAACGGCUUAGGGUACUUACUAAAAAUCAUGUUUAAUUAAUUCUUGCCUCAACAAUACAUUUGGCUCUGAUCCUCAUUUUUUAUUGUUUUUUUUUUUUUGUUGUGCAUGCAUGGUUGUGUUUUUUAGUAACGCAGGUCAUGGCUGAGAAGAUUAUUAUGUUUUGCCGUUACUAUGUUCUACUUAUUGUUCUUCUUCCUUAUCGAACCCUCCAAUUCUUCUACCACAAGCUUUCAUUCCAAGUCUCAAGGGCCUCUAACCUAGAUGCUGCUGAGGGCAUCGAAAACCAUGCUCCCAUUGAGCCAAAGCUUUCUUCUUCCUUCAUCACAGACUCCCAAAUCCAAUCUGAAUUUGCUCACCAUGCUCCUGGUGUUGCCAUGAUGAACAAUGGCAGCUUUGGUUGCUGCCCUGCUUCUGUCAUCUCUGCCUUGCAACAAUGGCAGCUCAAAAUGCUCCGCCAGCCGUGCAAUUUCUUCUUGAAUGAUCUCCAGAACAGGAUACUUGAAUCAAGAACCAUAAUUAAAGACCUUAUCAACGCAGAAGAUGUGGAUGAAGUCUCCAUUGUAGACAACAUCUCCACUGCUGCUGCCAUAGUCCUGCAGCAAACAGCAUGGGCCUUUGCUGAAGGGAAAUUCAACAAGGGGGAUACUGUCAUUAUGUUUAGCUGCACUUAUGGUGCAGUGAAGAACUCAAUCAAGGCCUACUUUUCACGUGCUGGUGGGUAUGUUAUCGAAGUUCCAUUUAACUUUCCAUUGAAUUCCAAUGAAGAAAUCAUAAGUGAAUUUAGGAAAGCAUUGGAGAGAGAAAAGGGUAAUGGUAGGAGAGUGAGAUUGGCUGUGAUAGAUCAUGUCACAUG